GCUCUUCCCGUCCCCCCUCGGAGGGACGCAACCGCCGAGGUCGUGGGGAGAAACAUUUCAGUGAAUCGCAGCCACGAGGGCUCCAGUUUGCCGGAGCAGCUCGGCUCGCUUUACCCACCCCGGCUCUCCCCCCGCGUUCCGAGGAAGGAACCCCCGCGCACCGCUUCAGCGUUCGGGCGACACGUGGCUGCGCCUUCCCUUCCUCCGGACGCGGGUGUUUUAUUCGAGCUCCCGCUCCGCCGCCGUCCCCGUAACGCGGGCUCCGAUACCCGCAGGGCCCCGCGCCGCAGCCGGAGGUCACUGCGGAGGGGCAGCGCGGCCCCGGUCCCACCUGCGGCUCCGGGCGCACCGCGGGGGUUGCUCUCGGAGUUCGCCCGUCGGUGCGCGGCCGUCAGCGCGUCCCAGUACCCCUUUAUUUUCGGGAAGGUUGGCGAAGGCGCGCGCUUUCCCUCUCUCCAUAUUAAUCUCAUUAAAUCCUACCUUUCAACCUUCUUCCGUGACCAUCUGACCUGGCCACUUGAAUUCAAACAGUGCUUUCUCCGCAGUCAAAGACAGCACAUCAAUCACCGGGCUAUUUACACUUCGCUCCUUUCUUCAAAGAGGAGCUGCCCGUUCUCCCUCCACCCUCCCUUCCGGGGACGGCGGGCACCGUUUGGGUUUAUUGGUAUUAUGACCAUAUAUACGUAUAUAUUUGGUUUCUCACCCUGCUGUUCUCGGCUGUCCGCGGGUCCCUCGGUUCCCCCGGCGUGGCGGUGGUCGGUCCCUCGGGAGCGCUCCCAGCGGCACCUGGAACGCAGAAGAAAGCGGCACCGGCACCCGCUGUCCCCGGGCGGCCCGGCCCGGUUCGGCCCAGCCCGGCUCGGUUGGGCCCGGACGGCCCCGGGGCACAGGCAGCCGCACAGCGGGGUUCGCUUUGUUUUAUUUUAUAUUAUAUAUUUUUUUUUUCCGGUCAAAAUGCGUCCAAAUGUGCGAAUAAAUUGGGGUAGGAAGAGCUUUGCCGCUGAGCUCUCCGACGCCGGUAGUUAA
rnacentral:lncRNA from 1 species